rnacentral:rRNA from 1 species
GAUCCUGGCUCAGGACGAACGCUGGCGGCGUGCUUAACACAUGCAAGUCGAACGAGAAUCUACUGAAAGAGUUUUUCGGACAAUGGAUGUAGAGGAAAGUGGCGGACGGGUGAGUAACGCGUGAGGAACCUGCCUUGAAGAGGGGGACAACAGUUGGAAACGACUGCUAAUACCGCAUGAAGCAUAGGGGUCGCAUGAUUUCUUAUGCCCAAAGAUUUUAUCGCUUCAAGAUGGCCUCGCG